rnacentral:rRNA from 1 species
CCUACGGGUGGCAGCAGUGAGGAAUAUUGGUCAAUGGGCGAGAGCCUGAACCAGCCAAGUCGCGUGAGGGAGUACUGCCCUAUGGGUUGUAACCCUCUUUUGUCGGGGAGCAAAAGCCGGUCGUGUCCGGCUGUGCGAGUACCAGCAGCAACAGCAUCGGCUAACUCCGUGCCAGCAGCCGCGGUAAUCCGGAGGGUGCGAGCGUUAAUCGGAAUUACUGGGGGUAAAGCGCUCGUAGGCGGGAUGUCAAGUCAAGGGUGAAAUCCCCGGGCUCAACGUGGGAACUGCCUUUGAAACUGGCAAACUGGAGUGUGUGAGAGGAUAGUGGAAUUCCAGGUGUAGGAGUGAAAUCCGUAGAUAUCUGGAGGAACAUCAGUGGCGAAGGCGACUAACUGGCACAUAAAUGACGCUGAGGAGCGAAAGCGUGGGUAGCAAACAGGAUUAGAUACCCCUGUAGUC